AACGAACGCUGGCGGCAGGCUUAACACAUGCAAGUCGAACGCCCCGCAAGGGGAGUGGCAGACGGGUGAGUAACGCGUGGGAAUCUACCCAGAUCUUCGGAACAACACAGGGAAACUUGUGCUAAUACCGGAUACGCCCUACGGGGGAAAGAGUUAUCGGAUUUGGAUGAGCCCGCGUUGGAUUAGCUAGUUGGUGAGGUAAUGGCUCACCAAGGCUACGAUCCAUAGCUGGUCUGAGAGGAUGUUCAGCCACACUGGGACUGAGACACGGCCCAGACUCCUACGGGAGGCAGCAGUGGGGAAUAUUGGACAAUGGGCGAAAGCCUGAUCCAGCCAUGCCGCGUGAGUGAUGAAGGCCUUAGGGUUGUAAAGCUCUUUUAGUGGGGAAGAUAAUGACGGUACCCACAGAAAAAGCCCCGGCUAACUUCGUGCCAGCAGCCGCCGCCG
rnacentral:rRNA from 1 species